CAAAGCCAAAGAUGCUCAGUGCUGUGGCUCCUAAAAUAGCCUUUGGGGUGUAGUUAGCUCCUGUUAAUUCUUCAGUGUC